rnacentral:lncRNA from 1 species
UUAGUGAGGUUCUAUAAUUCCUUUAUUGAUGCAUUUACAUACUAAAGGCUAAUUCAACUGGCCUCCAAGUAUAUUUCAAUGAAAUUGGAAGUGAAAUUCAACAUAUACCAAAUAAGACAUAUACCAAAUAAAAUCAAAUGCAUUUUUAGUUUACAGUGUUAUUUUGUAAAUUGGCUUUUAUGCACCCCAUCCACAAAAUUUCACAGUUCUUUACUGGACAAAGAAAGCUUAUAGUACCAUUUCUCUUUUGCUUUG